rnacentral:lncRNA from 1 species
GAGUUUAAGUUCUGAAGGCUCUUAUCUUUUGUCCAAUGCAAUGGACAAUACAGUUCGUGUCUGGGAUGUCCGGCCAUUUGCCCCCAAAGAGAGAUGUGUAAAGAUAUUUCAAGGAAAUGUGCACAACUUUGAAAAGGUGAAUGUUCUUGGUCACCUGAUGGAAGCAAAAUAGCAGCUGGCUCAGCCGACAGGUUUGUUUAUGUGUGGGAUACCACAAGCAGGAGAAUAUUGUAUAAGCUGCCCGGCCAUGCUGGCUCCAUCAAUGAAGUGGCUUUCCACCCUGAUGAGCCCAUCAUUAUCUCAGCAUCGAGUGACAAGAGACUGUAUAUGGGAGAGAUUCAGUGAAGAUAUGGACUGGAAGACUCCAAGGCCGCUUGUCUUUGAGACCUCAGACUGCAUAAGUGAUGCCAAAUGUUGGAUGUCCAGGCUAGCACCCUCCCUUCAGAUGACCAUUGCUAGCAAGAAACAGGAGGCGGUGGCCAUAUUCCAAAAACCACUUCUGUCCCAUUUCACCAGGAUGACUAAGGCAAGCUCCCUGUGGCCUCUAAAAACCACCUGCCAGAUUUCAGGGACUGUUUUUUUUUUUCUUUUUCUUUUUUCCUGUUUUCUAAUGCAGGCCCAAUGUGACAAAUUUGUUGGUUGGGAUUUUUUUUUUUUUUUUGUAACUGGCUUGUAUGAUAUUUUCUUUCUGUAUUUCUCUAUAUCAUUUUGUAUUAAAAGCCAAAU